rnacentral:misc_RNA from 1 species
UCUCCGUAGGUGAACCUGCGGAGGGAUCAUUACAGAGUUCUCGCCCUCGCGGGUAGAUCUCCCACCCACUGUAAUCGUUACUGUGUUGCUUUGGCGGGCCGCCGGGCCCCGCUCGGCCGCCGGCUCCGGCGGGCGCGCGCCCGCCAGAGGCCCAGCAAACUCUGAAUGUUAGUGUCGUUUGAGUACUAUAUAAUAGUUAAAACUUUCAACAACGGAUCUCUUGGUUCUG